rnacentral:rRNA from 1 species
CCUACGGGUGGCUGCAGUGAGGAAUAUUGGUCAAUGGCCGGAAGGCUGAACCAGCCAAGCCGCGUGAAGGACGAAGGUGCCAUGCAUUGUAAACUUCUUUUGUCAAGGGACAAAAUCAGGCUCGAGAGCCUGACCGAGGGUACUUGAAGAAAAAGCAUCGGCUAACUCCGUGCCAGCAGCCGCGGUAAUACGGAGGAUGCGAGCGUUAUCCGGAUUUAUUGGGUUUAAAGGGUGCGUAGGGGGCCUGUUAAGUCAGCGGUAAAAGCCCGGGGCUCAACCCCGGCGAGCCGUUGAAACUGGUUGUCUUGAGUGGGCGAGAGGUAUGCGGAAUGCGCGGUGUAGCGGUGAAAUGCUUAGAGAUCGCGCAGAACUCCGAUUGCGAAGGCAGCAUACCGGCGGCGAACUGACGCUGAGGCACGAAAGCGUGGGUAUCGAACAGGAUUAGAUACCCUAGUAGUC